rnacentral:rRNA from 1 species
GCUUAGCCUUAAACCUCAAUAGUUAAAACAACAAAACUACUCUCCAGAAUACUACAAGCAACAGCUUAAAACUCAAAGGACUUGGCGGUGCUUCACAUCCCCCUAGAGGAGCCUGUUCUGUAAUCGAUAAGCCCCGAUCCACCCCAUCCUCUCUUGCUCAGCCUAUAUACUGCCAUCUUCAGCAAACCCUGAUGAAGGUCACGAAGUGAGCGCAAAUGUUAGGUCAAGGUGUAACCUAUGAGAUGGUAAAAAAUGGGCUACAUUUUCUACCUCAGAAAACCCCAUGAUAACUCUUAUGAAACCUAAGAGUCUAAGGAGGAUUUGGCGGUAAAUUAAGAAUAGAGUGCUUAAUUGAACUAGGCCAUAAAGCGCGC